UACGAAGGGGGCUAGCGUUGCUCGGAAUUACUGGGCGUAAAGGGCGCGCAGGCGGCUCUGAAAGUCAGAUGUGAAAGCCCCGGGCUUAACCUGGGAAUUGCAUUUGAUACUCUGGAGCUUGAGUACGGGAGAGGAGAGUGGAAUUCCCAGUGUAGAGGUGAAAUUCGUAGAUAUUGGGAAGAACACCGGUGGCGAAGGCGGCUCUCUGGACCGUAACUGACGCUGAGGCGCGAAAGCGUGGGGAGCAAACAGG
rnacentral:rRNA from 1 species